rnacentral:lncRNA from 1 species
GUCCAUACUGAAAAUCCAGUUCCUACAAUACCAGCAUUUUACCCACCUACGUUAUUCCCACAAACACACACAACAGUUUCAGAAUAGUCAUAUCCACACUAUGAUUACUGAACGUAGUUUCCAAUUAUUGCCAUUCUUCUUGUUCCUGAGGUAUAUCCCUCUAGGGAUGGACUUCGCACUGCAUUGCUAAGUCUUUUGAAGUCAUUUCUCUCUGUAAUUUUACCACAGCU